rnacentral:lncRNA from 1 species
ACCUAAAUCUAUUUGGAUUUAGUUGGGUAGCUAAUUAUGAGCCUAAGAGGAUUGGAUUAAGUCAAUGAGUUGGCUAAAUUAUCUUCUCAUUAUCUCCUCAUUGUGUGUAGAAUUAUUGGAAAGAAGGGAUAGCGCAAUCCUCCUUUUUUGGUAGGACCAAGGGGCACCAACCCCUUGGAUAAUGUAAGAGGGGCCUGCCCCCUCUUGUGGCUGAGCGUGGAAGG